CGGGGUGCAGCAGGCGCGAAACCUCUGCAAUAGGCGAAAGCCUGACAGGGUUACUCUGAGUGAUUCCCGCUAAGGGGAUCUUUUGGCACCUCUAAAAAUGGUGCAGAAUAAGGGGUGGGCAAGCCUGGUGUCAGCCGCCGCGGUAAUACCAGCACCCCGAGUGGUCGGGACGAUUAUUGGGCCUAAAGCAUCCGUAGCCGGCCACGCAAGUCCUCCGUUAAAUCCACCCGCUCAACGGUUGGGCUGCGGAGGAUACUACGUGGCUAGGAGGCGGGAGAGGCAAGCGGUACUCAAUGGGUAGGGGUAAAAUCCUUUGAUCCAUUGAAGACCACCAGUGGCGAAGGCGGCUUGCCAGAACGCGCUCGACGGUGAGGGAUGAAAGCUGGGGGAGCAAACCGGAUUAGAUACCCGGGUAGUCCCAGCUGUAAACGAUGCAGACUCGGUGAUGGGAUGGCCUCGAGCCAUCCCAGUGCCGCAGGGAAGCCGUUAAGUCUGCCGCCUGGGGAGUACGGUCGCAAGACUGAAACUUAAAGGAAU
rnacentral:rRNA from 1 species